rnacentral:rRNA from 1 species
AGAACGAACGCUGGCGGCAUGCCUAACACAUGCAAGUCGAACGCUUCCGGGGCUUCGGUCGCGGAGGAGUGGCGCACGGGUGAGUAGCGCGUGGGAACCUGCCCUGUUGUGGGGGAUAACCGAGGGAAACUUCGGCUAAUACCGCAUACGCCCCGGGACUUGGUCUUCGGAUUAGGUCUGGGGGGAAAGAUUGAUCGCAGCAGGAGGGGCCCGCGUCGGAUUAGCUGGUUGGUGGGGUAACGGCUCACCAAGGCGAUGAUCCGUAGCUGGUCUGAGAGGAUGAUCAGCCACACUGGGACUGAGACACGGCCCAGACUCCUACGGGAGGCAGCAGUGGGGAAUAUUGGACAAUGGGGGCAACCCUGAUCCAGCAAUGCCGCGUGAGUGAUGAAGGCCUUAGGGUUGUAAAGCUCUUUCGCCCGCGACGAUGAUGACGGUAGCGGGAGAAGAGCCCGGCUACUUCGUGCCAGCAGCCGCGGU